GACGAACGCUGGCGGCGUGCCUAACACAUGCAAGUCGAACGGAAAGGCCCUGCUCUUGUGGGGUGCUCGAGUGGCGAACGGGUGAGUAACACGCGAGUAACCUGCCCUUGACUUUGGGAUAACUUCAGGAAACUGGGGCUCAUACCGGAUAGGAGCUCCUGCUGCACGGUGGGGGUUGGAAAGUUUCGGCGGUUGGGGCUGGACUCGCGGCUUAUCAGCUUGUUGGUGAGGUAGUGGCUUACCAAGGCUUUGACGGGUAGCCGGCCUGAGAGGGUUGCCGGCCACAUGGGGACUGAGAUACGGACCAGACUCGUACGGGAGGCAGCAGUGGGGAAUAUUGCGCAAUGGGCGGAAGCCUGAUGCAGCAACGCCGCGUGCGGGAUGACGGCCUACGGGUUGUAAACCGCUUUCGCCUGUGACGAAGCGUGAGUGACGGUAAUGGGUAAAGAAGCACCGGCUAACUACGUG
rnacentral:rRNA from 1 species